rnacentral:ncRNA from 1 species
GAAAUGAGAACACUUUAAAACCUUUAAAACGAGGAUCAAUUAGAGGGCAAGUCUUGUGCCAGCAGCCGCGGUAAUUCCCAGCUCCAAUAGCGUAUAUAAAAGUUGUUGCGGGUUAAAAAGCUCGUAGUCGGAUCUGUGUCUGGACGGUGCCGGACCACCCUGGCGGUCCCGUCGUGUCGCGGCCGGCCCGUGUCGCGGGACCACGUGUCCCGUCGGCGCGGUCGCCGUCGCGCUCGUCAGCCGUCUCGGGGUGUUAGUUACCGGCACGUCGGCCGGACGUAUUGUCGGCAGGCGGACACGUGUCUCGUGCUUCCGGCGCGCCGCGCGGCCACGCGUCGCGCGGCCGUCGGUGUUCGACGACGGCGGCCGCCUACUCCAAUCUUGCUGCGCGGUGCUCUUCACCGAGUGCCGUCGGCGGGCCGACACGUUUACUUUGAACAAAUUAGAGUGCUCAAAGCAGGCUCGAAUCUGGCGGGGCGGCUUCACGGCCGUCUCGUCAAAAGGCCCUGAAUACUGGUCGCAUGGAAUAAUGGAACAAGACCUCGGUCCCGCGCAUCUCCGCCCUUCGCGGGCGCGCGAAAUCGCCCUCCGGGGCGUUUCCGUGCGCGGGCCGCCGGGCCGCGGGCGCCAGUCGCCCGCGCGUCCCGCCGGGCCGGUUUUCGGGACCGGAGGUAAUGAUCAACAGAGACGGGCGGGGGCAUUCGUACCGAGACGUUAGAGGUGAAAUUCUUGGAUCGUCUCGAGACGAACUGACGCGAAAGCAUUUGCCAAGUACGUUCUCGUAUGAUCAAGAACGAAAGUUAGAGGUUCGAAGGCGAUCAGAUACCGCCCUAGUUCUAACUGUAAACGAUGCCAGCUAGCGAUCCGCCGGCGUUUCAUUAACGACCCGGCGGGCAGCUUCCGGGAAACCGAAGCUUUUCGGUUCCGGGGGAAGUAUGAUUGCA